CUCAGGUGAUCUGCCUGCCUCGGCCUCCCAAAGUACUGGGAUUAUAGGCGUGAGCCACCGCGCCCGGCCUAACUUUUGGUUUUGUCUGUGCUAACCUUUCCAUUGGCCUGUUCCAGAGAAUCCAGGAGUCCUGCCAAAGUGGCACCAAGUGGCUGGUGGAGACCCAGGUGAAGGCCAGGAGGCGGAAGAGAGGAGCACAGAAGGGCAGUGGAUCCCCAACUCACAGCCUGAGCCAGAAGAGCACCCGGCUGUCUGGAGCCACCCCUGCCCACUCAGCCGCAGACCCCUGGGAGAAGGAGCAUCACCGCCUCUCUGCCCGGAUGGGCUCACGUGCCCACCCAUUACGGCGAUCAAGGCGGGAGGCUGCCUUCCGGAGCCCCUACUCCUCAACAGAGCCCCUCUGCUCUCCCAGCGAGUCCGACAGUGACCUAGAGCCUGUGGGGGUGGGAAUUCAGCAUCUCCAGAAGCUGUCCCAAGAGCUAGAUGAAGCCAUUAUGGCGGAAGAGAGGUGAGUUGGCAUCCCAUGCUUCAAAGUGAAGGGGCCGGGAGGGCCCCUCCAGCCAUCUUUGUAGGCAGGCGUUGGUUCUGCUCUGACCUGCUGUGUGACCCUGGCCAGUCUCUGCCCCUCUCUGGGCCUCAGUCUUCCUCAU
rnacentral:sRNA from 1 species